rnacentral:tRNA from 1 species
GGGAAUGUGGCUUAGUGGUAGAGUGCUUGCCUAGCAUGCAUGAAGCCCUGUGUUCCAUUCCUC